rnacentral:rRNA from 1 species
AUUGAACGCUGGCGGCAGGCCUAACACAUGCGAGUCGAGCGGUAGAGAGAAGCUUGCUUCUCUUGAGAGCGGCGGACGGGUGAGUAAUGCCUAGGAAUCUGCCUGGUAGUGGGGGAUAACGUUCGGAAACGGACGCUAAUACCGCAUACGCCCUACGGGAGAAAGCAGGGGACCUUCGGGCCUUGCGCUAUCAGAUGAGCCUAGGUCGGAUUAGCUAGUUGGUGGGGUAAUGGCUCACCAAGGCGACGAUCCGUAACUGGUCUGAGAGGAUGAUCAGUCACACUGGAACUGAGACACGGUCCAGACUCCUACGGGAGGCAGCAGUGGGGAAUAUUGGACAAUGGGCGAAAGCCUGAUCCAGCCAUGCCGCGUGUGUGAAGAAGGUCUUCGGAUUGUAAAGCACUUUAAGUUGGGAGGAAGGGCAGUAAAUUAAUACUUUGCUGUUUUGACGUUACCGACAGAAUAAGCACCGGCUAACUCUGUG